CUUCAGGUGACUUUGGCAAGAACAGCCUGUGCCGAGCUCGGUCACCCCAGAAAACAGUAACAAUACCAUUUCCAUCAGCGUUUUUGAUUCGGAAGAGGACCGCUGCUAACUGUGUGGGGCCAAAAGCCAGUGAGCGUUUGGGGUGAGGGCUGGGAGGGCUUGCGGUGGGAAGGGAGGGAGAGCUGGAAAGCUGGCCCCAGUGUCUACUCACCCAGUGUACUUGGCCACACGUCUCUGCUUUGAGGAAGUCCCCCUCCCCUCCCCACACCUUGGAUCUCCUGAAGAAUGCCCUUUCUCCAGCCCCAGCUUCUCUGCUUCCUGGGAAGGAGUCUCCGUGUUCUUCCUCAGGGAUCUGUGCUCUAGGAAUCAGUCCAGAGGAAAUAAUCUAAAAUGCAGGUGAGAAAAAAUUAUACCCAAUGUGCUCUAAGCUGCAUUGCGUCCCCUG
rnacentral:lncRNA from 1 species